GCCCAGCCAGAACCACAUCCGAGAGCCACCAAAAGUUUCGCCGGAGAAGACCAAGACCGCGCCGUCGAACCAAACCGCUGCGUCGCCGUCCGAGCACGGGGAUGGAGCCGCCGUGGCGCCCUCUCCCUCCUCGCUGAACCGGAGCUGGAGCUGCUCGAGAACGUCGCCGCCGCCAAGACGUACCUGGAGCGCCGCCGUGCACGCCGACGACCUCCGCUUCGCCCCGCUGUCGUCUCCAUCCUCCCCAACCUUCUCCCUUGACGUGCUCGCCGUGUGUGCUGCCAGAGCCUCAACAGCGUCAUCUUGGUCGGGCUUCGUCUGGUUUCUUUCAAAGGGCUGAGCCCCUCUUCAGUCAUCAGUUAAUCUAGCAGUUCGCCUGUUCCAUCUGCACCUAAGACGCCGGUAUCGAGGAGUACGGCGAGGAGUACGACUACUACCCUGAGGAGGAUCGUGCCGGGUUCUCUUCUUCUGACUUGACAG